CGUCCCUGAAAAACGAAGCACGCGAAGAACCCAACAGUUACAGAUAGCCCGUUAGAGGACACCCAAUUCCAGAGUGAUGACGAAAUUGGCUCUACAUUUCCAUCAUUACCAAAAUGCUUGUGGCACUUUUGCUGUGCAUUUCGUACGGUUUUUCGCCUGAGUUAGAACUCGUUCUUUUCCAUUGUAUGCAUUUAUGUGAACAACGCUGCACCACGCAGUGCAGGAUCGCGGAUCGUUUGUGGAAAGACCAUAUCUACUGGUAGAGUGAUAUAAUUACGGUAAACGGCCUGUUCUCUGUGACACUUGCUGCCGAAAUGCCAGAGUUGUGCGGAGGAUGGAGCAGCUUGCUAUUUGAGUCAAGUUCUCACAGUUUAUCUUCAGGAGGCAAUUUUUUCGCGGCUGACGACACAAAAGAGUGUACCUGGUUCCUGAACUCCGAGUCGAUCUCGGGCAACGAUUUCAUCAGCUUCCUUCGAGUUCUCUCCAACGUCUGCCUGCUUUGUCAGGGGCGAAAAAAGACAUCCCUCGUCUUCUGUGAUCCAAUCGAGUUGGGCGAGCGGCCCAGUGUCCAGUUCGAAGAAGUCUGUUUCCUCUUUCUUCGCUUUGUUGGUUUCUGUUUUCCGCUUGUUCGGAGAUGUGCCUCCAGAUGCACCGCCACUACAAGGGUGAAAAACGACCCUGCUGCCCUUGUCCUGGAGGUAGUUCUUGACGACAGACGAGAGGAGGGUUGUUCCGUCCACAGAACCAUCAACGAACACGCCUGCUGUGCUCGAAUUCUGUGGUGCAGGAGGAAAACCAAGAGAAUGCGGGGACGCAGUGGCUGAAGACGAAGCAGACGUCGGAGACACUGGCGUGGAGGAGUCUUUGAGACUUGUUAGGGCAAAAACCGAAUUUUCACGAGAGAGAGGAGGUACGUUCGCGGAGUCUGAGACCAGGGCAUUCGCCAAACCCCCCUGAUCUGCAGUCCACUGGGCUCCACAAGCGCCUUUUUCAAUCUCCAGUUCCUGAAGAAAGUCGGAAAUGUCUCGUUUGGUUUGCCGCGAACGCAGCAGAGCGGCAUUCAGCGCCUCUUCCUCUGUUGAAGACGACAUUCUGCUCUGCUUUCAGAGAAGAAAAAGGUGCAAAAAGGCGGGCAAGCGGGACACCCGACAUACGGGUUCGUCCCGCUAGAUUGCAGCGUUAUUCAGCGAGUCGUUGAGGCCAUGAUAUGCGUAAACAGCCUGUGAAUGAUAGACACUGAGAUGGGGAUAAAGAUAGGGAGAAAGUCAUCUAGAGAUUACCUGCGCAUCGUCAGACUGAUGUGGAGAUAAAAAGGAAGUUUGAGAGAAAGGGAGGAAUGGAACAAUUGUGGAGGCCAGCUUACAGCUGAGUAGAACUAAUAACCUUCGUAUUUGUAUCGAAGUAGGUGGAUAUCCGCAGAAGCAGCUACUUAACCAUGAUGAUGGACGGAACCGUGUGGUGAAGGGGAAAAUGGCAGAGACAUGCCUAGAGAGGGC
rnacentral:lncRNA from 1 species